GCCGACGUAGCUCAGAUGGCAGAGCAGCUGAUUUGUAAUCAGCGGGUCGUGGGUUCGAUUCCCUCCGUCGGCU
rnacentral:tRNA from 1 species